GUCGAACGAUGAAGCCGGAGCUUGCUCUGGUGGAUUAGUGGCGAACGGGUGAGUAACACGUGAGUAACCUGCCCUUGACUCUGGAAUAAGCGUUGGAAACGACGUCUAAUACCGGAUACGAGCUUCCGCCGCAUGGUGAGGAGCUGGAAAGAAUUUCGGUCAAGGAUGGACUCGCGGCCUAUCAGGUAGUUGGUGAGGUAAUGGCUCACCAAGCCUACGACGGGUAGCCGGCCUGAGAGGGUGACCGGCCACACUGGAACUGAGACACGGUCCAGACUCCUACGGGAGGCAGCAGUGGGGAAUAUUGCACAAUGGGCGCAAGCCUGAUGCAGCAACGCCGCGUGAGGGACGACGGCCUUCGGGUUGUAAACCUCUUUUAGUAGGGAAGAAGCGAAAGUGACGGUACCUGCAGAAAAAGCACCGGCUAACUACGUGCCAGCAGCCGCGGUAAUACGUAGGGUGCAAGCGUUAUCCGGAAUUAUUGGGCGUAAAGAGCUCGUAGGCGGUUUGUCGCGUCUGCUGUGAAAACUGGGGGCUCAACCCCCAGCCUGCAGUGGGUACGGGCAGACUAGAGUGCGGUAGGGGAGAUUGGAAUUCCUGGUGUAGCGGUGGAAUGCGCAGAUAUCAGGAGGAACACCGAUGGCGAAGGCAGAUCUCUGGGCCGUAACUGACGCUGAGGAGCG
rnacentral:rRNA from 1 species